rnacentral:rRNA from 1 species
UACGUAGGGGGCAAGCGUUGUCCGGAUUUAUUGGGCGUAAAGAGCGUGUAGGCGGCCAAGCAGGUCAGCUGUGAAAACUCGAGGCUCAACCUCGAGACGUCGGUUGAAACCGCUUGGCUAGAGUCCGGAAGAGGAGAGUGGAAUUCCCGGUGUAGCGGUGAAAUGCGCAGAUAUCAGGAAGAACACCCGUGGCGAAGGCGGUUCUCUGGGACGGUACUGACGCUGAGACGCGAAAGCGUGGGGAGCGAACAGG